rnacentral:rRNA from 1 species
GAUGAACGCUGGCGGCGUGCCUAAUACAUGCAAGUCGAGCGAACGGACGAGAAGCUUGCUUUUCUGAUGUUAGCGGCGGACGGGUGAGUAACACGUGGAUAACCUACCUAUAAGACUGGGAUAACUUCGGGAAACCGGAGCUAAUACCGGAUAAUAUUUUGAACCGCAUGGUUCAAAAGUGAAAGACGGUCUUGCUGUCACUUAUAGAUGGAUCCGCGCUGCAUUAGCUAGUUGGUAAGGUAACGGCUUACCAAGGCAACGAUGCAUAGCCGACCUGAGAGGGUGAUCGGCCACACUGGAACUGAGACACGGUCCAGACUCCUACGGGAGGCAGCAGUAGGGAAUCUUCCGCAAUGGGCGAAAGCCUGACGGAGCAACGCCGCGUGAGUGAUGAAGGUCUUCGGAUCGUAAAACUCUGUUAUUAGGGAAGAACAUAUGUGUAAGUAACUGUGCACAUCUUGACGGUACCUAAUCAGAAAGCCACGGCUAACUACGUGCCAGCAGCCGCGGUAAUACGUAGGUGGCAAGCGUUAUCCGGAAUUAUUGGGCGUAAAGCGCGCGUAGGGCGGUUUUUUAAGUCUGAUGUGAAAGCCCACGGCUCAACCGUGGAGGGUCAUUGGAAACUGGAAAACUUGAGUGCAGAAGAGGAAAGUGGAAUUCCAUGUGUAGCGGUGAAAUGCGCAGAGAUAUGGAGGAACACCAGUGGCGAAGGCGACUUUCUGGUCUGUAACUGACGCUGAUGUGCGAAAGCGUGGGGAUCAAACAGGAUUAGAUACCCUGGUAGUCCACGCCGUAAACGAUGAGUGCUAAGUGUUAGGGGGUUUCCGCCCCUUAGUGCUGCAGCUAACGCAUUAAGCACUCCGCCUGGGGAGUACGACCGCAAGGUUGAAACUCAAAGGAGUUGACGGGGACCCGCACAAGCGGUGGAGCAUGUGGUUUAAUUCGAAGCAACGCGAAGAACCUUACCAAAUCUUGACAUCCUUUGACAACUCUAGAGAUAGAGCCUUCCCCUUCGGGGGACAAAGUGACAGGUGGUGCAUGGUUGUCGUCAGCUCGUGUCGUGAGAUGUUGGGUUAAGUCCCGCAACGAGCGCAACCCUUAAGCUUAGUUGCCAUCAUUAAGUUGGGCACUCUAAGUUGACUGCCGGUGACAAACCGGAGGAAGGUGGGGAUGACGUCAAAUCAUCAUGCCCCUUAUGAUUUGGGCUACACACGUGCUACAAUGGACAAUACAAAGGGCAGCGAAACCGCGAGGUCAAGCAAAUCCCAUAAAGUUGUUCUCAGUUCGGAUUGUAGUCUGCAACUCGACUACAUGAAGCUGGAAUCGCUAGUAAUCGUAGAUCAGCAUGCUACGGUGAAUACGUUCCCGGGUCU